rnacentral:rRNA from 1 species
AUUGAACGCUGGCGGCAGGCCUAACACAUGCAAGUCGAACGAGUGGCGGACGGGUGAGUAAUGUCUGGGAAACUGCCUGAUGGCGGGGGAUACCUACUGGAAACGGUAGCUAAUACCGCAUCCCCUCGGAUGUGCCCAGAUGGGCUUAGCUAGUAGGUGGGGUAAAGGCUAACCUAGGCGACGAUCCCUAGCUGGGCUGAGCGGAUGACCAGCCACACUGGACCUGGGCCACGGUCCAGACUCCUACGGGAGGCAGCAGUGGGGAAUAUUGCACAAUGGGGGCAAGCCGGAUGCAGCCAUGCCGCGUGUAUGAAGAAGGUCUUCGGGUUGUAAAGUACUUUCAGCGGGGAGGCGUUACCCGCAGAAGAAGCACCGGCGAACUCCGUGCCAGCAGCCGCGGUAAUAC